rnacentral:rRNA from 1 species
GAUGAACGCUGGCGGCGUGCCUAAUACAUGCAAGUCGAGCGAACAGACGAGGAGCUUGCUCCUCUGACGUUAGCGGCGGACGGGUGAGUAACACGUGUAUAACCUACCUAUAAGACUGGGAUAACUUCGGGAAACCGGCGCUAAUACCGGAUAAUAUAUUGAACCGCAUGGUUCAUUAGUGAAAGACGGCUUUUCUGUCACGUCUAGAGGCAUCCGCGCCGCAUGAGCUAGUUGGUAAGGUAACGGCUUACCACGGCGACCAUGCGUAGCCGACCUGAGAGGGUGAUCGGCCACACUGGAGGUGAGACACGGUCCAGACUCCUACGGGAGGCAGCAGUAGGGAAUGUUCCGCAGUGGGCGAAAGCCUGACGGAGCAACGCCGCGUGAGUGAUGAAGAUCUUCGGAGCGUAAAAAUCUGUUAUUGGGGGAAAACAAAUGUGUAAGUAACUAUGCACGUCUUGACGGUACCUGAUCAGAAAGCAACGGCUAACUACGUG